rnacentral:rRNA from 1 species
GACAGAGGCCUCAAGCGUUAGGCGGAAUCACUGGGCUUAAAGCGUGUGUAGGCGGAUCGUUAAGUGUCUUGUGAAAUCCCACGGCUCACCCGUGGAACGGCUGGGCAUACUGGCGAUCUUGGGCCAACUAGGGGCAACUGGAACAAGCGGUGGAGCGGUGAAAUGCGUAGAUAUCGCUUGGAACGCCGAAGGUGAAAACAGCUCGCUGGGGCUGCGCUGACGCUGAGACACGAAAGCCAGGGGAGCGAACGGG